rnacentral:rRNA from 1 species
GAUGAACGCUGGCGGCGUGCCUAAUACAUGCAAGUCGAGCGAACAGACGAGGAGCUUGCUCCUCUGACGUUAGCGGCGGACGGGUGAGUAACACGUGGAUAACCUACCUAUAAGACUGGGAUAACUUCGGGAAACCGGAGCUAAUACCGGAUAAUAUAUUGAACCGCAUGGUUCAAUAGUGAAAGACGGUUUUGCUGUCACUUAUAGAUGGAUCCGCGCCGCAUUAGCUAGUUGGUAAGGUAACGGCUUACCAAGGCAACGAUGCGUAGCCGACCUGAGAGGGUGAUCGGCCACACUGGAACUGAGACACGGUCCAGACUCCUACGGGAGGCAGCAGUAGGGAAUCUUCCGCAAUGGGCGAAAGCUUGACGGAGCAACGCCGCGUGAGUGAUGAAGGUCUUCGGAUCGUAAAACUCUGUUAUUAGGGAAGAACAAAUGUGUAAGUAACUAUGCACGUCUUGACGGUACCUAAUCAGAAAGCCACGGCCAACUACGU